AUUGAAACUGCCUAACAUGCAACAUUCCCUUCUUAUGGAUCCAGGAACAAUUUCCUCCAGGAAGUCUUGGCCCUCCAUUACUCAAGAGAGAUUAUUCAUUUGUGCCUCAAUCAGGAUGACAUUCCAUCACUUCUCUAUCCACUGGUGACCAAUCCAGAGGAAUCCAACUUAAGAGACUUCUUAUAUCAAGCCAUUCACUAGACUAAGAUGAGAAAUCUGAAUCUGGGAAAAUCAAAGUGAGUCCCUAAGAUCCACAGCUAUAAAAUGGCAGAAAUGGGACUCAAAGCCAGGACUCCUGAAUCAAAGUCCAGUGAUGUUUCUACCACUGCAUCAUGCUUCCUCUCCAAAUACCAUCCCCUCCAAAAAAAAAAAAAAA